rfam:Trichobilharzia regenti genome assembly, scaffold: TRE_scaffold0082949
GGCCCCGUGGCCCAAUGGAUAAGGCAUCUGACUUCGGAUCAGAAGAUUGCGGGUUCGAGUCGCGUCGGGGUCG